rnacentral:rRNA from 1 species
GACGAACGCUGGCGGCGUGCCUAAUACAUGCAAGUCGAACGAACCGCGACUGAGUGCUUGCACUUGGUCAAGGUGAGUGGCGGACGGGUGAGUAACACGUGGGUAACCUACCUCAUAGUGGGGGAUAACAGUCGGAAACGACUGCUAAUACCGCAUAGGACAUAGGAUCACAUGAUCCAGUGAGGAAAGGUGGCGCAAGCUAUCGCUAAGAGAUGGACCCGCGGUGCAUUAGCUAGUUGGUAGGGUAAAGGCCUACCAAGGCGAUGAUGCAUAGCCGACCUGAGAGGGUGAUCGGCCACAUUGGGACUGAGACACGGCCCAAACUCCUACGGGAGGCAGCAGUAGGGAAUCUUCCGCAAUGGACGCAAGUCUGACGGAGCAACGCCGCGUGAGUGAAGAAGGUCUUCGGAUCGUAAAGCUCUGUUGUUAGAGAAGAACAGCGCAUAGAGUAACUGCUAUGCGUGUGACGGUAUCUAACCAGAAAGCCACGGCUAACUACGUG